AAUUGGAGGGCAAGUCUGGUGCCAGCAGCCGCGGUAAUUCCAGCUCCAAUAGCGUAUAUUAAAGUUGUUGCAGUUAAAAAGCUCGUAGUUGAAUUUCGGGAUCAGUACGCUGGUCGUGCCUCCGGUAUGUACUGGCGUCACUGAUUCCUCCCUUCUGAAGAACCAUCAUGCCAUUAAUUUGGUGUGGUGGGGAAUCAGGGCUGUUACUUUGAAAAAAUUAGAGUGUUUAAAGCAGGCUCGCGCUUGAAUACAUUAGCAUGGAAUAAUGAAAUAGGACGUUUAUCCUAUUUUGUUGGUUUCUAGGAUUGACGUAAUGAUUAAUAGGGAUAGUUGGGGGCAUUAGUAUUCAAUUGUCAGAGGUGAAAUUCUUGGAUUUAUUGAAGACUAACUACUGCGAAAGCAUUUGCCAAGGAUGUUUUCAUUAAUCAAGAACGAAAGUUAGGGGAUCGAAGACGAUCAGAUACCGUCGUAGUCUUAACCAUAAACUAUGCCGACUAGGGAUCGGAUGAUGUUAAUUUUUUAAUGACUCAUUCGGCGCCUUACGGGAAACCAAAGUGU
rnacentral:rRNA from 1 species